rnacentral:tRNA from 6 species
GCCCUAGUAGCUUAGCUUAAAGCGCCGGUCUUGUAAUCCGGAGAUCGAAGGUUAAAAUCCUUCCUAGCGCC